GGUCAAGCGAACAAGUGCAUGUGGUGGAUGCCUUGGCGAUCACAGGCGAUGAAGGACGCGGUAGCCUGCGAAAAGCUUCGGGGAGCUGGCAAACAAGCUUUGAUCCGGAGAUGUCCGAAUGGGGAAACCCGGCCCGUAUGGGUCAUCCCUGACUGAAUCCAUAGGUCAGGGAAGCGAACGCGGCGAACUGAAACAUCUAAGUAGCUGCAGGAACAGAAAUCAACCGAGAUUCCCAAAGUAGUGGCGAACGAAAUGGGAAGAGCCUUGCACUCUUUAGCAGGACUGUUAGCAAAACGGGAUGGAAAGCCCGGCCAUAGCAGGUGAUAGCCCUGUAUGCGAAAACAGACUUGUGGAACUAGGUGUGCGACAAGUAGGGCGGGACACGUGAAAUCCUGUCUGAAGAUGGGGGGACCAUCCUCCAAGGCUAAAUACUCGUGAUCGACCGAUAGUGAACCAGUACCGUGAGGGAAAGGCGAAAAGAACCCCGGGAGGGGAGUGAAAUAGAUCCUGAAACCGCAUGCAUACAAACAGUCGGAGCCUCGUAAGGGGUGACGGCGUACCUUUUGUAUAAUGGGUCAGCGACUUACAUUCAGUGGCAAGCUUAACCGAUUAGGGAAGGCGU
rnacentral:rRNA from 1 species